rnacentral:rRNA from 1 species
UACGUAGGCAGCAAGCGUUGUUCGGAGUUACUGGGCGUAAAGGGUGUGUAGGCGGUUUUCUAAGUUUGGUGUGAAAUCUCCCGGCUCAACUGGGAGGGUGCGCCGAAAACUGGAAAGCUAGAGUACUGGAUGGGAGAGUGGAAUUCCUGGUGUAGCGGUGAAAUGCGUAGAUAUCAGGAGGAACACCUGUGGCGAAGGCGGCGACCUGGUUUGAUACUGACGCUGAGGCGCGAAAGCGUGGGGAGCAAACAGG